GAAUAAAAACUUCAUUGACUACUUAGAUAGAAUAAAUAAACCCGCUACAAUACAUUUGUCAAGAUAACCUUCUUCUGUAUCGUAUAUAUACAAUUAUGAACUACAUUCUAUAAAGAGAGUAAGUGUUUGAUAUUUGAUAGUCAACAUAUUUAACACUAAGAUAUUUUUGUUUGAGUUAGAUGAUAAAGACAAACCCAAUGAACGUAAAACCAACAUAUAUGGUACUUAUCAGUUGAAAAGGUUGAGAACGGAGAUCGACGAAUAUGAAUUUGACAGCGAUAACGAGGACGACGAGGAUCCAUAUGCAGUGAUCCGUGACUCCCAAGUUCUCCCGCAGGCAACAGAUACAGAAACAGAUGUCAACUUUGACCAAUACAACACAUGUGGUUACAAUCACCUCCACCUUAUGGGUUUAUCUCGACCUCCCGGAGUCCAAAAAAAGAUAAAGGGUAGUUACUCAAGUGCGGUAUAUGGAACUCAAUUUUCCACCUUUCAAAAUGAUCAAAUUUGAUUGUGUCAACAAAACAAUUUGUUUCACAGUGAAUGUAAAAAGUUGCAUAUAAUUGAUAUUUUCCUAGUACAUUUUGUAUAUUUUUUCCUUUUUAAAUAAUCUUUGAUCCUUGGUAUCUUAGAUUUUCUAACCAGCUAAUUACAAAUUAUGAAUAUAUUUUGUUUUAUGGCGCCACAACUUAAAAAAUAAUUACAAACAAACUCUCCUCCACAGAAGAUAUUUUGGUUUAAGAAUUUAAAACGGUUUUCUAUUUGCUUAGUAGUUUUGUCUGCUUUAUUUAUGGGAAUUUUCUUGUAAAUAGAAUUAAAAAAAAAAUCUCGUCUUUCCUUUAUGUAUUGAAUUUUUUAAUGUUUUUGGUUUUUUUUAACGAUUGUUGUAAGGAUCCCCCGUUGUUUGUGUAAAUAUUUCACUGAAGGCAGUUGAUUUAGCCGAAUCGGAACCAUUUAGUAUCUAUGCAUGGCUACGAACCAUUACGGGAAUUACAGUUUUUGUAAACUUUGCUGUUUUUUUCUGCUGAGGUUUACACUCAGUUGGAUUCCAAAAAAAAAAUCAUUCUGUGACUGGAACUGAUUUGUAAGUUUUAUGCAAAACUAUGUUUUCAUUUACCAAGAUAAUUUCAAUGAUACCUACAUGAGCAAUAAUAAUUUCGAUUUGUAGUUUAUAUGAAUUUCAAGAUGGGAGACAACAUGUUAUCCAAAUCGAUCACUUCCUGUAUUAGGAUUUAUCAUAAUAAUCUUAAACAGUAUUGUACUAAUAUUUGUGAUAAACGAGGAAAUUCAUUUUUUCAUUUCUUCGUUGGGUUUUUUUUCUUAGAGAGUUCCUAUUUAGGUUUAAGCAUAUUAAAAAUAUGUUUAUCAAUUUGAUACAACACAACGUAUUUUGUACCUGUUUUCAUGGUAUAACCAAAUGAAAUUGUAUGAGUAUGUCGAAAUAAUUGAUACAGUGAGCUGUGCUUUUUAUUAAAGGCGUCUUAUAUUUACUGAGAUAUCAUAUCGAUCCAUUCAUUUUAAACCACUCUCUGAAUGUAUCUUUUAAUAUUAUAAAUUCUGUAUUAAGAUUCUACGCGAAACUAAAACAUAUUUGGACAUUGCAAAAGAUAUGUCUUCCUGUAGUGUUCAUAUCCUGGUUGUAUACUUAACAUGUUGUCAAUCAGUCAACAAUAUGUCAUAAAACAAAUAUACCUUUGAAGAAAGGAGUAAAAUUUUGUAAAACAAUAUUAAGAUUUUGAUAAUGAAAAAGUAAUAGAAUUUUCAGAAUACUAUACGAAAAUUUAUUGUAAAUAAUUCCAUUCUGAUUUUUUUUUAAUCAGAACAAUUGUAUUUGAAUACUAAUGAAAGGAUUUCAAUAUCCAAAGCAUCUGUAUUUAUCAAAUAUCUAAAUAGAUCAAGGGCAGAUCCAGCCAAUGUUUUUUUAAUUACAGGGGGAUUCCUACUCGGAAUAAAGGGGGUUCAACCAUAUGCCCCCAGUCUAAAGCAUUGAUCGUCAAAAAAGUGAGGUUCCAACCACGGACCUCUCCUUAAUCCGCCACUGUAAAAUAUAUAUAUGUUAAUUAGUCAUUCAUAACAAUAAAUUUCAUACUAACAAAAUGCAAUGUAAUAAACAAACUUCCGUCAGAGAUAACAAAAAGAAAUAGAUGUUAAUGAUCAUUUUUGUUAAAUUUUGUUUAUAAUUUUCUGUCAUUCUUAAUCAAUUAUCCGUUACAAAAGCUAGUUUUAAAACAAGACUGGGAAGUAUUUAUUUAGAAAUGUUACAAAAAUAAACAAAUAAAUGUUUUGUCAAGUCCAAUAGGAAAUACUUAAAGAGUACCGGAAUUGACUCUCUAUAUACAAUCAGUUCUAAGUUUUGUUAAAAUCCUGUUAUCUGAUGAGGGCAUCAUGAUCUCAUUGUAUAUUUUUGUUGAAUAAAGACUAUAACUAUACCAAAUUUAGUAAUUUCAUUUAAUUCUAAACACGAC
rnacentral:lncRNA from 1 species